rnacentral:rRNA from 1 species
AAGCAGCCAUCAUUUAAAGAAAGCGUAAUAGCUCACUGGUCGAGUCGGCCUGCGCGGAAGAUGUAACGGGGCUAAACCAUGCACCGAAGCUGCGGCAGCGACGCUUAUGCGUUGUUGGGUAGGGGAGCGUUCUGUAAGCCUGUGAAGGUGUGCUGUGAGGCAUGCUGGAGGUAUCAGAAGUGCGAAUGCUGACAUAAGUAACGAUAAAGCGGGUGAAAAGCCCGCUCGCCGGAAGACCAAGGGUUCCUGUCCAACGUUAAUCGGGGCAGGGUGAGUCGACCCCUAAGGCGAGGCCGAAAGGCGUAGUCGAUGGGAAACAGGUUAAUAUUCCUGUACUUGGUGUUACUGCGAAGGG